rnacentral:lncRNA from 1 species
GGAACCCGGCGCGCCUUGAAGAAGGCAGGCCUAAACCUCGUAGCUCUUGGGGUCCCGGUAACUACUUAGGUCCCGAACUUUUUUAAGUAUGCAGAAGAACCUUAGAAAACGCGUUAGGAAGGGUGAGGACUAACUUGACCUUGAUCUGCUUCCCGACUCAACAGAACCUAGUAAAGAAAAAUGCAGUAGCAUGAAGCAGAGAGCUUGGGGUUCCGCAAGCUCUCCCCCGCUUCUACUGCAGCCCCACUCGUACUCACAGAGAAAAGGCACCUCUGAUCUUAACCUGUAGAUAGUCCAAACUGCUAAGACAAACCCAGGGCUCAGGGCAGUGACAAGAAAUGGAGAACCCAGAAAAAAAAAUAACAAAUAAGAUAAGGGUAAAAAAGAAAAAAAAAAAAAAAGAAAUGAGGACACCAGGCAAGGAGGCGAAAAGCUCACCAACUGAAGCCGUGGAAGUGACUGAAAGCUGCCUCUUUUGUCGUAUGCCAGGGUUUUGUUCUGUGGCCCAAGCUGGAGUGCAGUGUUCUGAUCAUGGCUCGCUGCAGCCUCAACUUCCUGGGCUCAAGUGAUCCUCCCACCUCACCACCCAAGUAGCUGGGACUACAGGCAUGUGUGCCACCAGGCCCAGUCAAAUAUUUCUGGGAAAUGAAUUCUCCUAAACCAAGAACAAAAUUUGUAUUUGGCCAAGAUACCAACUUCACUCUUGAAGUCAGUGAUUCUUAAUGAUUCACAAGGACUCCUACGAUUAUAUCAAGCACACCCCAAAUGAAAUAUCCAGAUAAUUCAAGACAAUCUGUUCAUCUCCAGAUUCUCAAUUUAAUCAUAUCUAAAAAAUCUGUUUUAUGGUGUAAGGUCACAUAUUCACAGGUUCUAGGGAUUCAGAUAUCAACAUAUUUGGGGAGGUGAUUAUUCAGCCAAACACAGAGGGUCUCUUAGAACACUAACUUUAGCAAAAGUACCAGGAAGAAUUCUUAUUGGCCCAGCUUGGGUAAUAUGCCCAUCCCCAAGACAAUCACUAUGGCCAAGGGGGUGAUGUUGAUGGUCAGACAGCCUAAUCUGCAUGACCACUCCUGAAGGAUGUAAUGAGAAUGCUGUGACAACGGUCCCACUGGGUCUAUAUGUAUUUGGAGAGGGAUGGCUUUCCAAAGGAAGAGUUGCUAUUACCAGAAGAAUAAAGAAGGGAUUAUGAGCAGACUCCCCUCUCCCCUCACCAAAAAAAAAAAAAAAAAAAAAAAAACCCGCACAAAAAGCAGAGGCACACUACGAAUUCCCAUUAGAACAACACUGUCAAUACUCUGGUAAUAAUAACAGAACUGUUCUUAUUUGAAAAUUCCAUGUAUGAGGAUGUAUACCUGUCUAUAUGUUUUUGGUUUGGACCAAAAAAGCAACGAAUAAGAAUGCGAGAUUUAAGGUCAGACAGACCUGGAUUUAUAGCCUGACUCUACCCUUUCUAGCUGUGUAACAUUUUAGACAUGUUAUUGAAAUUUCCUGAUUUUCAGAUGCCUCACAGGUAAAAUAAAGUUGCUUACUAUAUUGGACACGGAUAUUUGUCAUGUUUUCUGACUACCCAGCAUAUUUUGAAAACAAUUUUACCAUACUGGAAAAUCCUCAGUCUUUAGAGUCCCGCUUCCACAAAGUAGAAUGCAGAAAACUGAAUUCUCAGCCUCUCUUACUGCUGGGCCUAGGAAUAUGACAGUGACUUUGACUUCUCCUGUGAGAUUCACACAUGUAAGAAUUUGACAGGUAAGUAACGGAGUUUAUGUGGACUGUUUUAAAAUCUUGCAUACAAGAAGAAGGCUCCAGUCAGAAUCCAUUUUUCUGGUACAGUGGACAACAAUGCUGCCGUCUUGUGGUGGUAGCAACAACACUGUAUGCAGUUUAGUUUCUCAGUGAUUUCAAGGUCAAGUUCCAGGCACAGAUGUGGCCCAGGCAGGGAGUUGAGAGUUGGCAACACCUUCCCUAGUGCUCUGUGGGACAGCAAGAGAAGCAGCAGUUUCCUCUCCGCGCCAACUUUGCCAUGUGAUUUUCAGAAUUGUUCCUAGGAGCUUAACUUCAAGUCUAGCUCUCCAGGCCUCCAAAUGCUUCUGUGAGCUAACCAAUAGUCUUUUUUUCAAAACUCCCUUUUCUGCUUCAUCGGCUAAAGAGAGUUUGCUUCAGUUAAGUAAUAUUAACAGUGAUGAGGCCGGGCGUGGUGGCUCACAGCUGUAAUCCCAGCACUUUGGGAGGCCGAG